rnacentral:tRNA from 1 species
UAGGUAGUUUAAAAAAAAAUGUCGAUUUGUGAUGUCGGAGUUGUAAUAAAAUUUAUUUACCUUA